rnacentral:ncRNA from 2 species
UAUUUAACAUUAGCGUGUGGCCUCGCCUCUGGCGGGGAUACGAGGAGAGGGAAAAUCGAAUAAUCUGCGGAUCCCCUCAAGCCGUGAUUGCCGGCUUUAAAAUUUUGUUGAAAAACAAAAUUUGUAAUUAC